rnacentral:rRNA from 1 species
GAUGAACGCUGGCGGCGUGCCUAAUACAUGCAAGUAGAACGCUGAAGGAGGAGCUUGCUCUUCUGGAUGAGUUGCGAACGGGUGAGUAACGCGUAGGUAACCUGCCUGGUAGCGGGGGAUAACUAUUGGAAACGAUAGCUAAUACCGCAUGACAACAGUUAUUGCAUGAUAACUGUUUAAAAGGGGCAACUGCUCCACUACCAGAUGGACCUGCGUUGUAUUAGCUAGUUGGUGAGGUAACGGCUCACCAAGGCGACGAUACAUAGCCGACCUGAGAGGGUGAUCGGCCACGCUGAGACGGGGACACGGCCCGGACUCCUACGGGAGGAAGCAGUAGGGAAACUUCGGCAAUGGACGGAAGGCUGACCGGGCAACGCCGCGUGAGUGAAGAAGGUUGUCGGAUCGUAAAGCUCUGUUGUAAGGGAAGAACGAGUGUGAGAGUGGAAAGUUCACACUGUGACGGUAUCUUACCAGAAAGGGACGGCUAACUACGUG